rnacentral:lncRNA from 10 species
CGAGAUUGCAGCCUCUGCCCGGCCGCCACCCCCUCUGGGAGGUGAGGGGCGUCUCUGCCUGGCCGCCCAUUGUCUGGGAUGUGGGGAGCCCCUCUGCCCGGCUGCCCGGUCUGGGAAGUGAGGAGCGUCUCUGCCCGGCCGCCAUCCCAUCUAGGAAGUGAGGAGCGCCUCUGCCUGGCAGCCCAUCGUCUGAGACGUGGGGAGUGCCUCUGCCCCGCCGCCCCGUCUGGGAUGUGAGGAGCGCCUCUGCCUGGCCGCGACCCCGUCUGGGAGGUGAGGAGCGUCUCUGCCCGGCCGCCCCGUCUGAGAAGUGAGGAGCCCCUCCGCCCGGCAGCUGCCCCGUCUGAGAAGUGAGGAGCCCCUCCACCUGGCAGCCACCCCGUCUGGGAGACAGGGUCUUGCUCUGUCACCCAGGCUGGAGAGCAGGGUGUGAUCUCAGCUCACUACAGCCUUGACUUCCUGGGAUCAAGCCAUCCUUCCACCUCAGCCUCCCAAGCAGUCAAGACUACAGGCACACACCACCAUGCCCAGUUAAUUUUUUAAUUUUCUGUAGAGACCGGGGUUUUGCCAUGUUGCCCAGAUUGGUCUUGAACUCCUGGACUCAAGGGAUCUACUUGCCUCAGCCUCCCAAAGUGCUGGGAUCACAGGUGAGAGCCACCGCACCUGGCCUGCUUUUAUUUUUGAAUAGUAGACUUCUUUUCUCUCUUUGGCUACUUUAUCAAAACUUCAAAGGAGUUCCCACUUCUUUUGAUAGUCACAGCAACCUGAUUCAUGGAGAAAACAAAAAAGAUUAAGGGAGAUGAAGUGGUGGUUAUGGGAAGGGGCACAUGUGAAUAAACUUAUUGAGUAACCCCACUUCUUAGGACAAAAUCAUCCAAAACACAUAUUCUUUUCCUUAUGUACCAUUCUUUACUAUGCUAAUAAAUACAUACAUAAAUAAAUAAAUGUGUUGUCAACUACUUUCUCUAAUCUGCGUCUUGAAUAGUUUUUCCAAGACUGAUACAUUUGAACUCAUAUCUUUCCCAAUACUCCAUGUGUCACAGAACCUGUAUUUGUAUCAUGGCUGGCCAGAGGGGAUUUGUAGUCUACAGCUGAAGAAUGGAGUAAAGAUUACAGCAAAGUCCUCUUCUGGGGUCUUCCUAGGCCUCACAAAGCUGCUCCCCAGGCCUUGGCCAACCACCUUCCCUGGAGCAGGCUCUCGGUGAGAAAACCUCAUGGAGAGAAGAGGCCAGGAGUCCAUGGCCACUCCUGUUUACUUUCCCAUUCCCAUCCUGCAUGUUCCUGCCUCCUGCCUGAGUGAACACAGAUUGACAUGCCCUCUGUGAAUGGCUGCAGACCCUUGUUCCAGUUCAGCUCUGUCCAGCACCUGUCAUAUGUAUUACCUGAAAGAAAAACCUGAGAUCAGCAGAAGAUCCUCAGAGCAGACAAAAAUUUUUCUUAAAAACAACAAGACAAGUGAAAAACAGGACAAGGGUGGGGACAGGACAACAGCAGGCUGCACCCAGAGAGUGCACCCAGGUCAUCGGCUGUUCUUCAUUUCUGACUUCCUGCUGGCUGUCCUGUGAGGUUGAGGUUACGUGGUUAGAGAAAGCCGGUUACUUGUUUCAAAACAAACAAAGUCCUCAAAUCCUUUGAACAGCUAAAGGAAUAGAGCACUCCUUGAAUAUGUAUUCUUUCAUAUCCUCUGAACAGAUCUUUAUUUACAAGGAAGGCUGGUCUUGGCUGGAAAAAUGGUAGUCAGAUGUAGAUCAAAAUGAUAAUCUCAGAACACAGCACCAAGUGUCUUUUGCAUGGGCCAUGGGACUUAAUGUCUUGAUAGAACAGAGGAUGUCAAGGAGAAAAAACUGAAGGCCACAAGAAAAUGUGAAUUUUUUAAAUAGUUUACUCUGGUUGGAGGUUUGCCAUAUUCCUGACUCAACUUUAUAAUGUUUCCCAUUUCUAAGCCAAAUGGCUCAGAAGUGUGGCUGGGGUGUGACCUUGACCAGGUACAACCAUGGCAAUGAGUCUCUAUUCUUUUUACUUUGGAAUCCAACCAACACGUUAAAGCUCUUUGAAUGUGGGUAUCAUAUGAGUCAGUGCAUGUGUGCUGACUGCCUGCUGUCCUCAUAACACAAAGUGGAGUGGGGGCUAUGGAGGCUACUGGAUUAUUUCCGUCAGUGUAUACAGCAAAACUAAAUUAAUCCCCAAGUUUAGGCUUUUUGACCUCGAGUAUCAAGACUAGUUUACUUGCAUUGUGCAAAUUAGUCACCAACCUACUUUGUAUUAUAGAGAGUUUUAAACUUUUGUGUAUUUCUCCAGAUUUGCAUCAAUGAGAUUUUUGAAGUCAGCUUUUAAAAUAAAU